rnacentral:rRNA from 1 species
AUUGAACGCUGGCGGCAUGCUUUACACAUGCAAGUCGAACGGCAGCGCGGGCUUCGGCCUGGCGGCGAUUGGCGAAGGGUGGAGUAAUGCAUCUGAACUUGCCCUGUAUUGCGGGAUAGGCCGGUGAAAGCCGGAUUAAUACCCCAUACGACCUUAGGGUGAAAGCGGGGGAGCGAAAGGCCGCUCGCUUUGGUGGUGGGCUAUGUCGGAUGAGCUAGGUGGUGGGGUAAAGGCUUUACAAGGCUACGAUGCGUAGCUGGUCUGAGAGGACGACCAGCCACACGGGCACUGAGAAACAGCUCCGACUCCUACGGGAGGAAGCAGUGGGGAAUUCUGCGCAAUGGAGGCAAGCCUGAUAUAGCAAUGCCGGGGGCGGGAAGAAGGACCUCGGCUUGUAAACCGCUUUUGUCCGGGAAGAAAUAAUCUGGGCUAACCCCGCAGGGGAAUGACGGUACCGGAAGAAUAAGCACCGGCUAACUCCGUG